rnacentral:rRNA from 1 species
GUCUACGACCAUACCACCCUGAACGCACCCGAUCUCGUCUGAUCUCGGAAGCUAAGCAGGGUCAGGCCUGGUUAGUGCUUGGAUGGGAGAAGGGAAGAAGUUUUGUAGAUU